rnacentral:tRNA from 9 species
GGGUCGUUAGCUCAGUUGGUAGAGCAGUUGACUCUUAAUCAAUGGGUCGCAGGUUCGAACCCUGCACGACCCACCA